rnacentral:rRNA from 1 species
CCGUGAGACAGGUGCUGCAUGGCUGUCGUCAGCUCGUGUUGUGAAAUGUUGGGUUAAGUCCCGCAACGAGCGCAACCCUUAUCCUUGUUGCCAGCGGUCCGGCCGGGAACUCAAAGGAGACUGCCAGUGAUAAACUGGAGGAAGGUGGGGAUGACGUCAAGUCAUCAUGGCCCUUACGACCAGGGCUACACACGUGCUACAAUGGCGCAUACAAAGAGAAGCGACCUCGCGAGAGCAAGCGGACCUCAUAAAGUGCGUCGUAGUCCGGAUUGGAGUCUGCAACUCGACUCCAUGAAGUCGGAAUCGCUAGUAAUCGUGGAUCAGAAUGCCACGGUGAAUACGUUCCCGGGCCUU